UUUCCUUCGUCUUCUCUCAGCUCGCACUGCCUAAACUUUACCAAAAUUACAAACCCUUGACCAACACUUUACCCAAACAAACUUUCUUCUCUCUCAGCUGCUCGGCAUUGCCUUCAGUUCAGGUUGUCGUCACCGGUGCUCUCAGCUUGGCCGUGCACAUCAUCGUGGGUUGUCGUCACCGGUAUUCAUGGGUUUUCAAUUGGUUUUCGUGGGUUCAGUUCGGGUUGUCAUCACCCUUCGUCGUCGUGGGCUUCUUCUGGUGGUGGGUCAUCAUCGUGGGUGUUCUACGGUCGUUUUCGGUUGGUUUCCGUCAGCGCGUGGGCUUUCUCGGAGUGUUCUUUAUUCUCUUCAUACAUUUUUCAUUACUCUCUCAAAUCAGAGGUUUGAAAGUUGUUCUCCUCGCACAUUCGUUUUAGAUCUAUUCAUGUUUUACUUGCUUUUUUUCUCUGUUAGAUUAUGGAAAGAUUUUGUCACAAUUUGAUAUUAGUAGUGAUGAAGUUACCCAUGAUGCCAAUUACAAAGAAGAGGCUCUUCCUCAACAUUUGUGCCUUGCAAAAUAAAAGAGAACGUGAAAUCCUCAUAUGAGGGUGGAGGCUGUGGAGUCUGGAAAUUCAGUGGAAAUGUAAAACCCACUACUACUAUGUCCGCUACCAAGUCCUUUGCGAGGAAAAAUUCAAAGCCAUUCACAAAUUCCUUGUCAAGAACCUCCUCUUUGAAUGACAAAUCUUUCAAUUCUUCCAACAUCGAAUGGAACAAAACGCAGAAUAGUUCUCGCACCUCGCUCAUUCGUGCACUUUUGACGGAUAAAAGGCCUGAAGAAAUCCCAAUGUUUGUGGAAUCAUUGCUAAGCAAGCUUGUGGAUGAAGUUGAGAGUAACUUUUCCAGCCUUGAACUGGUAUGUAGAUUUAACAAUCUUGUUUCAUUUGUUGCUUCGCAUUUUGUUUAUUUCCCUCCUAUUUUGCAAACAAAAAAAAAACAACUCCAAAAGAUGUAGUUGCGACUACUUCGCAAAGAAUGAAAUCCUUAUAUGAGGUCAGAGAAAGAGAACAUGAAGAGAUUGGAUUAUCAUUUUCUCCCGUCUUUCUUCUCUUUCUAUUCCUUUCCUUUUUUAUAGGAGUGCUUCAAGAUCGUUUUUAGUGUUGAUGUUAUAAAAUUCUUAUUGGUUAGUGUGGUAUUUUGUAUUUAGGACAUGGAAGAAAUGAGAGGCAAUUCCGAUAGCUUAUUUUAUAUGCAGCUACUACUGGAGAAAAUGAUGCUUGCGGUCAAUUUUUUAGAUCAUCCAUAAUGUUCUAACUUAUCAAGUUUCAAUGAACAAAUCUCUAUUACAUCUCUUAUCAGCUGCUUGAAUUAUCUAACUGUGCUUCUUAUGCCUUAAAAAAAAAUGCAAUUGCAAAAGUGCAUGACUUAUUUAACUAUGGUUCUUAUGUCUUAAAAAAUUAUAUGUAGCAUGCUAAUAGAAGGAGAUGAAUCAUUACCCAUUUUAUAUUUUAUGUUACCGUAGAUUUUUUUUCUCUUUGGAAUAUAAUACUGAAAAUAUCAUAUUAAUUGUUGUUUUUGUUGAAGGUUGAGUUAACUUGCCUCUCUCUUUUAGUACAACUUAAAACAUCAUUAAUUGCUAAGGAAAAUGGUGCUAAGUUUUAGUUUGAUCUAUCUACUAAUAAUUGUACUAUUUUUCUUAUUGCAGUUUCUUUUUCAAGUAAGAAAUGGAAUUAUCUUUGAUUGGGCUUCAGAAUACUAAAAAAAAGUCAUUUUUUAAUUGUCUUUCUUGUUGAGGCGGUGUAUUCAUUUCAAUCGUGCAGAUCAUGAGAUUUUUCAUAAAACUACAGAAGAACGAGUAAGCUAGAAGAGAGGGCUGCUGAAUUGAUUGAAGCUCUGGAAGUUAAAAAUUUCGAUCAAUUUCAUAAGUCAGCUCAAAAUCCUGUAAAAACGGAGGAUCUUGAGCUAUUGAAGCUGAUUUAGAGCUCUUGAGUGGUUUUUUAAGCUUCAAAACUUGAGAUUAGUUAGUUUAGAGGUUAAUUUGAAGUAAUAUAUGUGAAAAUCGAAAACUGAAAUGAAAUUGCUAAAAUUUGAAAAAAUUAAAGCUACUAUUAUUAUUGGACAACAAUCGAAAAUUAAGGGGUAAAUGGGGGCUGUAGUCGACUGGAGGUUAAAGAAGUCCUCGCACCAGUGGCCUGCUCAUGUGCCCACCAUACGAAUAACUAGAUUACCAGAGACAAAGAUAAGUUUAGGAUAAGUUUAGGUUUCCUGAAGGUGGUACACAGGUUUCUUUAAAUUCAUGUUUUUUAUGUGCCAGACUUUGUUUAGUUAAAGUAUUUGUCUAGUGAAGCUUUGUUUUUAAGCAUAUUUACUUUAGAUGGAAUUUUUAAUCUUCAACUUCGUAUGGAUGAAGGAUACUUUGCAUGGGCAGCACAACCAGUUUAUAAUCAUGAAGUAGUUCUGGAGGAACAAUGGAAAGUGGUCAGACAAAGAUGCCUAUAACUAGACACUGCUGAAGCUGGAGGGGUCUGUUCAAGAAGGAUUAUGAAGGGAUCCAUACUUACCAAGUGGAGAGAGGGACAGUAAACUCAUAAUGUUUAUAAAAUCAUAAUGUUUGUAUUACUUAUAAUUUGUAUUUUCAAGGCCAGAAUUAUUGUACGACCUUUUAAAUUAUAAUUUUAUAGCAGAAUAUGGAUUAAAUGUAAUAGAUUUACAAUCCAUACAUGAAUAAUAUGUCAUAGCUACAACGUUCGAUGA